GACUGCUGAAUUGGUGAAGCCGCUGCCCCUGGAGGUGUUGGAGAAAAAGAUGGAUGUGAUACUGAGUGGCAUGAUCUAAAAUGGUCACAUGGGUGGAAGGUUGGACUGAAUAAACUUAUUGGCCUUUCCCACCUCAACGAUUGCAUGAUUCAAUGAAGGAAAAUUUGCUAAAUGGAAAGUAUAAACCAUGGGCUUUUUGUUUCAGGACAUUUGCUUGCCCAGUGGAUAUGAGGUGAGGUUUUUAGGGUUUGGAGGGCUUCUGCCUCCUUGUUUUUUAUUCUCUAGAAUUACAAUAUAUCCAGUGCUUCUGGGCAGCCUUUCUCCGUCCCCUCGCCCCCAGCCGUGCGAGCAGAGGCAGCCCCGCACGUCCCCGCCAGGUGGCGGCGCGGCCCCGCGCAGGGCUGGGCGCUGCGGGGCGCGGCUGCGGCUCCCGGCGGUCGGUGAGUGCCGAGCCGGGAUGGCGGCGGAGCUGAGUGCAGGCGGCGAGCUGUGCCGGGGUGCCAUUCGGCCGUGCAAAGCGACGGCAGCUUAGCUAUGACUCCUGGCUUUUCUUUCAUUAUUUUUUUUUUUUUUCUGGCCGUACCUGGCUGCUGCUGUGCUCGAUGUGUGAGCACUUGUAACGCGGCAGCGCCGUGUCCUUGCAAACCCACUGGCGUCUGAAUAAAAUGAAGCUUAAUGUCACUGAUUGCAGGAGGCCAGAGCAUAGCUGUGGACCUGUGGCUUCUCUUUCUGUGAGCUCUGACAGAGAGGCUCCAGGACAAGAACAAAGUUACUUAAUAGCAGGGAAAACACCCACCCCCAGGAGAUGGGAUCAAAUUCUGUGUUGUGCCCACUGCAGUGUAAACUGUGAAAGAAGUUGGACCCAAGGGAAACUACUGCUCAGACUCUCACGCUGCUUCUUCGUGGAGCUCAUUGCACUCUUCUCAUGUUUCUCAGGUCACGCCAAAGCAAGACAUGUUCUGCUGGCAUCAGAAGAAAAGGACAGAACUACCUGUUAUACACUCAUGGAAGACAAACAGGAAAACAACCUCCUCUGUGAAUGUUAACUCUCUCUUUUCUUGAGCUUAUGCAGUUACUGGGCAUGUUAGGCUUCCAUGCCAAGAGACUGAAGAAAACUUCUGAUUUCAUUCAGGUUUGCCUUUCUUAAAGCAGUGCCUGACACCUGACAGGAUGCAGCAGCAAUCUGAGGCAUUUUCUGCUCAUGGAGAAUGGUGGAGCCCAGCGGGGGUUCCCAGCCCAGCCAUGGCAGCACACUGGAGCAGCAAUCAAAGGGAACCAGUAGCUUCUGACAAAUGUCACCAAGUAUUCUGACAAUCAUUCUUAUUGGCAGCAUUUCAGCUUCUUGUUUUGACACUCCCCUGCCUUGUCCUUUGAUAUUAGAGGUCUUUAUGUUAAAAUAGGAACUGCAUUUCUCAAGAGAUAAUGCCUGCAGGAUGGUGUGAAGUUGUCUGCUGUGUCUGGUGCUGCCCCUUCAGGUGUUCUUGAUUCACCAUGUGGCUUAAUCCUGCCCCAGGUCAAGGGAUUUCACUUAAUGUGUUUUGUUUGUCAUGUGUGAAUACAUGUUAGAAUGACUUUUAUAUGACUUGGUUUCCAAUACAUUCUGGAUAUUCAAGUCUUUACCUUCACCAUGUCAGUAACUCACUGUUUUUGUUCCAGAAAUUUGUUUUUUUCUGUUUAUUUUAGUUGAAAGCUGGGAUUCUUGUCUGUCUUCUGUUUCCAACAGGUGAGGCUUUAUGAAAGCAUCACACGUUGUAGGAGCUGACAGUGUCAUUCUAGAUGUGCAGUGCUCAGGGGUGUAUCAUACUGGGAGAUGACUCUUUAUACUGUGCCCUUUCUUGACCAGGAGAUUUGAAAAGGUUUAAAGCAGCUCCAUAACUGCUUUUGGACAUUUCUGGAGACAUUCAAACUUAAGAGAUUCCCAAGGAGAUACUUUGGCUGAAGACUGAAUGUCAGAGCUAUGUGAGAAGACUUCAGUGUUUUUGCAGUGACUCUUCAGAACUACUUGUUAUUAAAACAGGGGAAGUUAAAAAUCUGGGCUCGUAUUUUAGCACCAGGGCUUUGUUGAAGACAGGCUGGCUUUUAAAGUCAUUUUGAGACAUGAAUCUCCAUCAAAGGCUUUGUGGUGGUCUGAGCGUAGAGAUCAAAGAUGGAAUUUCUUGGUCCCCAUCUUCACUUGUAGCAGCAGAUUGAGUCAUAGCUGGGGCAAUCUCUACAGGGAAAAAGAUUGUUGAUUUUAUGUAAGCAACUUGCUGCACUGCUUGAUAGCUUUCCAGAUUGCAGGAGUAGAAAUAGCAGUCGCUGUAUCAGAGAGAUCUGUAGGCUUUCUCCUUGGCAGUGGCACAAUCCAGAAUCUUUGAGAACUUAAAUCAGUGCUCCCACAGGGUCUGAGCAUCCAUCUCACACUAAAUCCUUUAAGGGCCGAACAGGAAUUUUACAGUCUUUUUGACUCCAGCUAAGACUUGGAAAAGGCAGACCCUGCCUGGAGGUGCAAGUGAAAAACUGCAAAUGAAAUGGAGAACAAUGCCAUUGGGCUGAUGAUCUGUGUGACUUUACUCGUAACUUUCCCAGCUGUAGAUAUUAUGUUAAUGCAGUUGUCUAAUCUUUUUUCAAAACUAGUACAGUGAUAGUACUGCCUCCUUGCCUGUGGUCAUAAAUUUCUCAGAGUGAUACGCUGCUUUUUUUAUUAUUAUUGUAAAAGAAUAUCUGUUACAUUUACUGCCUUUUUAUAGCAUGAAACAGAAUAAAUUGGCACAUCCCAAUCUUGCUUCA
rnacentral:lncRNA from 1 species